UGGGGGAAAACCCCCCUUUUUGCUAAAAGUAGCUAAAGCCCACUUCUUUUAAAUCACUGCAUUCCCUUAACCACCCUGAACAGCGAAGCAGAGCCUGCCUGCUGCUCCUGGACACAUUUCAUUUGACAAGUCUGACUUUCCUCUUCACCCCCUGAAAACACCCGCCACAAUCAGCAUUUCCAGGCCAUUAACCCUUCUCUCAAACGCCAGAUCCACACACAGCCCCGGCUCAGGCAGGAGAGCAAAGUUGGGUUUCUGGCACAAGCUUCAGGCCCUGAGCUGUCUCUGCCUGUUCCCCCGAAAACCAGACCCACAGGGAUGAUUGGGAAGGAGUGGGAAUUCACCCCGCGGGAGGAGGUGGCAGAGUCACUUUGCUGUCCAUAGCUGGCUACCAGCUGAGGAGCAAGGCUGGGUUGUUUUUACCCCUUUCUCCUCUCUCUUCUCCAGGAAUUAACUCACUGGGUGCUUUAAACACAUGGAAGGACAAAGAGAAUUUUUCCAAGUCUGUGCCCAACGUGGUUUGUGUGUUACGGACACAGCACCUGCAUGGCUCCCGCCAAUCCCAAAAACGUGGAGAACACUGCAUUGAACUGCCCCAGAACAGCACAAAGGACACAUGGCUGACAAAGUCCCUGAGCACAGACCCCACUGCAGCCAGAGGACAAAAGAGUCCAUUUCCAUUACAGAAAAAAAGACUCCAGUGGAAGCUUUAAGAUCAGCUCAAUGGAACAGAGUUCACAGAUGCACUCAGGAGGCACAGGACACGCGGCUGCUCAGCCGUGGGUUUCUCAACAGGCAUUUCUGUUAUGAAAACACCUCUCUCCUUGCUGGAACCUUGUUUAGAGUAGAAUCAAACCCUGCCAAAUAUUCCUCUCUACCUGUUAAUGGAUGAAAGGAAGCUGGAGAACGCAGGCCAUGGGACAGGUGAUUUUAUGGAGGAGUCAGUCACCCGUGCAAUGUUUCCACAAACACAACCCCGGAGAGUUCCAGCCCCAGAAAGGCUCCAAACAGCACCAGCCCCACGUUCCAUCGGGGUUUGGGCUCCUCAGAGGUGCCACUGAUGGCAGCAGAGAACUUUGCCCUCCAUAAAUACAGACUGAGCAGCAAGUUUU